rnacentral:rRNA from 1 species
UACGUAGGGACCAAGCGUUGUUCGGAUUUACUGGGCGUAAAGGGCGCGUAGGCGGCGUGACAAGUCAUUUGUGAAAUCUCCGGGCUUAACUCGGAACGGCCAAGUGAUACUGUCGUGCUAGAGUGCAGAAGGGGCAAUCGGAAUUCUUGGUGUAGCGGUGAAAUGCGUAGAUAUCAAGAGGAACACCUGAGGUGAAGACGGGUUGCUGGGCUGACACUGACGCUGACAGCGCGAAAGCUAGGGGAGCAAACGGG